rnacentral:rRNA from 1 species
CACGUAGGGUCCGAGCGUUGUCCGGAAUCAUUGGGCGUAAAGAGCUCGUAGGCGGCUCAGUAAGUCGGGUGUGAAACCCCCAGGCUCAACCUGGGGACGCCACCCGAUACUGCUGUGGCUAGAGUCCAGUAGGGGAGUGUGGAAUUCCCGGUGUAGCGGUGAAAUGCGCAGAUAUCGGGAGGAACACCAGCGGCGAAGGCGGCACUCUGGGCUGGAACUGACGCUGAGGAGCGAAAGCGUGGGUAGCAAACGAGGA